rnacentral:rRNA from 1 species
GACGAACGCUGGCGGCGUGCUUAACACAUGCAAGUCGAACGGGCCUUGUCCCCUUUUUUUUUGGGGGUGGGGUUAGUGGCGAACGGGUGAGUAACACGUGAGUAACCUGCCCCUCACUUCUGGAUAACCGCUUGAAAGGGUGGCUAAUACGGGGUGUUCUGGCCUGCUCGCAUGGGUGGGUUUGGAAAGAUUCGACCGGUUUUGGUUGUUUUGGUGGGGGAUGGGCUCGCGGCCUAUCAGCUUGUUGGUGGGGUGAUGGCCUGCCAAGGCUUUGACGGGUGCCAGGCGUAGGAGGGUGGGCGGUCACACGGGGACUGAGACCCGGCCAGACUCCUACGGGAGGCAGCAGUGGGGAAUAUUGCACAAUGGGCGCAAGCCUGAUGCAGCGACGCCGCGUGAGGGAUGGAGGCCUUCGGGUUGUGAACCUCUUUCGCCAGUGAAGAAGGUCCUGCUCUUUGUGGUGGGGUUGACGGUAGCUGGGUUAAUGAAGCGCCGGCUAACUACGUG